AUUGAACGCUGGCGGCAGGCCUAACACAUGCAAGUCGAGCGAGCGGCGGACGGGUGAGUAAUGUAUGGGGAUCUGCCCGAUAGAGGGGGAUAACUACUGGAAACGGUUGCUACUACCGCAUACUAUCGGAUGCACCCAUGUGGGAUUAGCUAGUAGGUGGGGUAAAGGCUCACCUAGGCGACGAGCUCUAGCUGGUCUGAGAGGAUGAUCAGCCACACGGGAACUGAGACACGGCCCAGACUCCUACGGGAGGCAGCAGGGGGGAAUAUUGCACAAUGGGCGAAAGCCUGAUGCAGCCAUGCCGCGUGUGUGAAGAAGGCCUUAGGGUUGUAAAGUACUUUCAGCGGGGAGGCGUUACCCGCAGAAGAAGCACCGGCUAACUCCGUGCCAGCAGCCGCGGUAAUUC
rnacentral:rRNA from 1 species